UAUAACCUUAGAGUCGUACAAGACUAGUGGAAAAGCCCCAAAUCCUCAUUAUCUUCCUCCUAAGAACAUCAAGAGGAAUUUCCUAAUUCUAAGGAUCAUGGUUUUCAAUCUCAAAGCUCUUCUUCAGUUUUCCUUUGUCAAAAGGUCCUGAGGCAUAGUCCCAUGGUCCAUCACAUCAGUAGAACAUUUGGAUAUGACAGAGUUUGUGAGUCAUCUAUCUUUCAAAAGACAUUUACUCAUAUGUUGACUUCUUUCAGUUUAUGGUCAAGUCAGGGGCCUUGUUCUGGCCUAGAUAGUUAGUAUUCAGUAGAGGCUUCCUAGAAGAGAUUUGGUUAUUCUUUUAUCAAGAAUUUAUUGACAUGGUCUGAUUAUUAGUUUUUUCUUAAAUUUUUA